GUUCCUCUAUUUCCAAAGUAAACUACCAACGCCUAUGCCACCAAAGUAAAUCACCAUCACCUUUGCCACCAAAAUAAAUCAUCAUUGCAUAUUCCAUCGGAAAAAAUACCACAUCAAACCUUUCAAACCAAAAUUUGACACCACCGGUCUCUUGGCUACUUGACCUACCAUUACUUCCACCACCCUAUAUAUGAAAUGCAUAUGCAAAGAACAAACUUCAUACCUAAUGUAAAUCACACCCAUAUGCUAAAAAUGAAAAUCAAACGUACAAAAAAGGUCAAAUUCAACUUGUAACAAACUUAUGGGGACAAAGUAGAGUUGUACAAACUUAAAAAACCAACUUCUCAAAAAUUUCAACAAGAAACCCAAACCAAAGAUAAGCUUUCCCACCUUGUUAUCGAGUUCAACUUAAGAAGAAAAGAGAACUAGAAAGAAAAGAGACAUUAUCUUGUUCCUGAUAUUAUUUUCUAAAACGAAUUGGAUAGAAGAGAGUUCAACUUAAGAAGAGAAGAGAACCAGAAAGAAAAGAGACAUUAUCCUGUUCGUGAUAUUAUUUUUUAAAAGGAAUUGGAUAGAAGAGAAGAGACGAUAAAGGAUGAUCUUCUCUCCUAAUAUUCCUACCAAAUUGGAGGGAUUUGGAAGUAGGAUUAACAAGGGUUAUUUGUUUGCUAAUCUUCCUUUACUUUCUUUCUAACUCAGGAACUCCAACAUACAAUUUACUUUCUUUAGCCUCCAUCUAUCUAUAUCCCAGAUUAAAGAGAAGUUUUUCAAUAAUUUAUACUCCGCCUCU
rnacentral:lncRNA from 1 species